rnacentral:rRNA from 1 species
UACGUAGGGUGCAAGCGUUGUCCGGAAUUAUUGGGCGUAAAGAGCUCGUAGGCGGUCUGUCGCGUCUGCUGUGAAAACUCGGGGCUUAACCCCGGGCCUGCAGUGGGUACGGGCAGACUAGAGUGCGGUAGGGGAGACUGGAAUUCCUAGUGUAGCGGUGAAAUGCGCAGAUAUCAGGAGGAACACCGGUGGCGAAGGCGGGUCUCUGGGCCGAUACUGACGCUGGAGGAGCGAAAGCGUGGGGAGCGAACAGG